CUCAAAGCAGAGAACUCUCGGU
rnacentral:miRNA from 2 species